rnacentral:misc_RNA from 1 species
CAUCGUUGCAGUCAUCGUACAUACUACGUCAUUAUCAGCUGUACAGGUACGAUUGUGGAAUUGAUAUCAGUUAUUGGUCUUAUCUAAUUUUUUUAUCAUCCAAGUUUUUUGCUACGCAAUUGUACACAUAGACAAUUCUGAAGUGGAGAAACACGUUGGCAGCAAGCUGGCAAGCAUGAAGUAUGAAGUUUUCUUUCUUAUUUUGGUGCUUGCACAUGAAGCUUCCGCAGCCCUAGAAAUUCGUUGCACAACAGCGUAUUGUACGGAGUAUAUCACCGAGACUGGAUGUUCUGAUUUAACUACUGGCUGCCAGGUCCUGAAUUCCACAAAUUAUGGGACUUUUAUGCUAUAUCCCGAUGUUUGCAACUGCUGUGAUUAUUGUCUCACAAAUCUGUAUGAAGGUGACGAAUGCGUUUCAGGCGCACCGGGUCAACUGCCACCCAGUGAAAUUUGUGGACCAGAAUUGGCAUGCACUACAAAAGACGAUGAUCAAGCAACAUGCCAGACAAUGACUACUGAUUGUGCGCUGGAGCGAGUAGCGUAUGAUCAGAAAAGGGACAACGGAACAUUGGGAAGUAGUGAACUACGACCAGAAUGUGAUAACGAUGGCCUUUAUUCAGCAGCACAUUGCAUUCCAGGGUCAAUAUGUUAUUGCAAGGCUCCCACUGGCGAAAGAAUAUUCGGCGAAAUACCUUACUUAAAUCCAUGGAACCAACGAGAAAUGUCUUGCGGAUGCUCCUUAAAUGCCUGGAGAGCACAAAAUACUCUUGAUCCUACAUACCACAUACCUGUUGCCCGUUGCCUAAGCAAUGGUCGAUUUGACCCAGUACAAUGCAUGAAUGGUACCAAUGCUACUUGUUUAUGCAUUGACAGUGUUACUGGAGCACCAAUAACUGAUAUUAGCACGGUCAAUGUUACCAAUUUGGCAGAGGACACUCUCUCUUGCUUUGACUCAACGAUACAUACGAAUGGAACAUAUAAUACAACUUGUGAAGAGGCAUACGAUACUUUGGUUGCUAAUGGAGUCACUGAUAUUGAACUCUUGCCAUCUUGUCAAAUUGAUGGAAAAUAUGAGCGAAUUCAAUACUCCGAUUCUAACAUAGCGCAUAGCGUGCAAGACUGUGGAUUGGGAGGGCCAGAGUUAAAAUUCCCAGCCUGUCGAGGAGGACCUGAAUGGCAACUUGUAAAAAUUGUAAAUCAGGUCACGCCGUUCAGGUACCGAAUCAGCGAGAAAAAUUUGUGCUGACCCCAAUGGCGUACAAAUAGAUAGUUUCGAAGCUCUAACAAAUGCAACUGAAGCUACAAUAAUGGAUUGUAAUUGUGCCAGAACACGAUGGAUUUUAAGCAAAGCUUCAGUGACUGAGCUCCCUACCUGUUGUGACUUUGGAAAUUUCGAAGCAUGGCAAUGUCGUAGGAAUGAGUGUUUCUGUGUUGAUGAAAAUGGGAAUCAAUUCGGACA